GCAGAGGCUUUAACCCACUGAGCCACCCAGGCGCCCCAUGCCCAGUGCCUUUCUUGACUGCCACCCUUCUGCUCCCACUCCCUCCUCUCCACAGAACUGCCCCCAUAACCCCACACACAUCUGUGGGCUUGAUGAGCCUCCACUGUGGCCUGUGACCUCCAAUCAUUCUCACCCCUGGUAUCCGUGCCCCUGUGUGAUCCCCUCCCCUGGUUUCAGAGACUUGCUCCUAACCGACAGAAGACAGCAAAGGAGACGGGAUGUCACUUCAGCAGUCGUGUUGAUAAAGGAUACACCCACCACCUGGCCGGAAGGCUCCUUCCUGCCUGUUUGGACUGUGCACUCACACGAUGAUGUGAGCUCCCCAUUUUGGAGAAGCCCCCUGGGCCAGGAACCGAGAAGAGUCUCCAGCCAGGGAGGAACCGACCCCUGCUAGCACGCCUGUGGGCCUGCGUUGUAUAAUAAAGAAGCGGACUGGUCUUUGUCCUUGGUUCUUGGGAGGUAAUCUCCAUGUGACGUGCGUGGAACCUCUCGCAUAGCAGAAGCAUCUUUGUUCUUUGCGGUGGACGCUUAGUACCACACCCGGGUUUAUGUUAGUGAGGUAACCCAGGAUGAGGGCUGGUGAUGCCAGAAAGACUAACCCUGUGAUUACAGGGUUACAGCCUUGACCUCUGGGGAUGACAGGGGGCUGGAGACAGAGUUGGGCAUGUGGGUAAUGAGUCAAUCAAUCACACCUGUGAGAGGAAAUCCUGAUGAAAAUUGGGGACAUUUGGGGAGCUUGCCUGCUGGUGAUGCAUCCUGAGGACAUAGGAAGCUUCGCUUUGGGGGCCCUCCCAGACUCUCCCCUGUGUGUCUCUUCAGCUGGGUGGUCCUGAUUUGUAUACUUUAUAAUAAAAACUAUUAUCAUAA